GAUGAAGAACGUAGCGAAAUGCGAUAAGUAAUGUGAAUUGCAGAAUUCAGUGAAUCAUCGAAUCUUUGAACGCACAUUGCGCCCCUUGGUAUUCCGAAGGGCAUGCCUGAUCGAGCGUCAUUAUCACCCCUCAAGCCCUCGGCUUGGUGUUGGACGGUUUGGUGGAGGCCCCCUCGGGGGUUCCUGCCCCUCCCAAAGACAAUGACGGCGGCCUCGUUGGACCCCCGGUACACUGAGUUCUUCACGGGACACGUAUCGGACACAUGGGUUUACGGGACACGGUCUGCCUCCCCUCAGGGAGAAUCUUUCUAAGGUUGACCUCGGAUCAGGUAGGGAUACCCGCUGAACUUAAGCAUAUCAAUAAGCGGAGGA
rnacentral:misc_RNA from 1 species